UAAAAACAUUAAUCUAAAAUAUAUAUCUUCUCUAUCUCAGUUUCUAUGGUUAACAACUUACGAGAUUUGCUCACCAUACAAUCAGAUGAUGCAAUCACCAUCGACGAAAUAUGGAGGCAAGUUUUUCCAGGUUGUGCUAUUGUAUUCCAAACCAAAGCUUCAUGCAAUAUAUAACAACAAAAGGGUAGUGAGUCUCCAUGACAGUUUAUGGGGAACGUAUGAUCAAGGGUUUGAUGAAGCUGAUUUCUUCACAUGAUUAGAACCAGUUGUUUAAAUAGGGAUAUUUGGACUCCAAAGAUUUCUGUUGAGUACAGUUUACCUACAAAGAUUAAAAUGUUUACAUUUAUUUGUAUGCUUCCUUGGAUACAAAUAUCAAGUGAAGGUAACCAUGGAUCUGACAAUUUAUUACCUGAUGGUUCUUUAUAGUAGUUAUGAGCAAUUCUUAGUUUAUCUUGUUGAGUUUCAUGCCUAGAGUUGUAAUUUUGAUUUCCUAAAUUGAAAUUACAAUCCACGCUAAAUGUAUGGAUGGAAUUCUGAGUAAUGUUACUUUAUGCAUGUGUUUGCUUUAAUAUGAUAUGAGGAUUUAUAUUGGA